AGUGAACGCUGGCGGCGUGCUUAACACAUGCAAGUCGAACGAGAACGGAUUAUAGCUUGCUAUAAUUGUCAGCUAAGUGGCGCACGGGUGAGUAAUGUAUAGGUAAUAUGCCUCUUACUAAGGGAUAACAAAUGGAAACGUUUGCUAAUACCUUAUACUCCUUAUUAACAGAAGUUAAUAAGGGAAAGAUUUAUUGGUAAGAGAUUAGCCUGUAUUGUAUCAGUUAGUUGGUGGGGUAAUGGCUUACCAGGACUAUGACACAUAACUGGUUUGAGAGGAUGAUCGGUCACACUGGAACUGAGACACGGUCCAGACUCCUACGGGAGGCAGCAGUGGGGAAUAUUGCACAAUGGACGAAAGUCUGAUGCAGCAACGCCGCGUGGAGGAUGACACAUUUCGGUGCGUAAACUCCUUUUAUAUGGGAAGAUAAUGACGGUAUUAUAUGAAUAAGCACCGGCUAACUCCGUGCCAGCAGCCGCCGUAA
rnacentral:rRNA from 1 species